GACGAACGCUGGCGGCGUGCCUAAUACAUGCAAGUCGAACGAAGUGGCGAACGGGUGAGUAACGUGUAAUCAACCUGCCCUUCAGAGGGGUACAACCGUUUGAAACGACUGCUAAUACCGCCUACUGAAGGUGGGUCUUUCGUCUGAUUAGCUAGUUGGAGGGGUAACGGCCCACCAAGGCGAUGUUCAGUAGCCGGUCUGAGAGGAUGAACGGCCACAUUGGGACUGAGACACGGCCCAGACUCCUACGGGAGGCAGCAGUGGGGAAUCUUCCGCAAUGGACGAAAGUCUGACGGAGCAACGCCGCGUGAGUGAUGACGGCCUUCGGGUUGUAAAGCUCUGUUAAUCGGGACGCGGUACCGGAAUAGAAAGCCACGGCUAACUACGUGCCAGCAGCCGCGGUAAUUC
rnacentral:rRNA from 1 species